ACAAGGUUCAUAAUUCUUAAUGCUAGAACUGGAACUUUGCUUCCAUCUCCAACAUUCAGGAACCUCUCGCCUUCAUCAAAUCUCCUACUGACCUGUAGACCCUGCAUCGAAUUGCAAAUAUGAUAAGGGCUUCCGGUAUCCAAUACCCAGGUAGUAGUAUCACAAAUGGAAAAGUUGCAAGGUGUUAUCAUAUAAGUACCUUGCUUCUUCUUCGACC
rnacentral:lncRNA from 1 species